GUAGAAAAUCUGCAGCAUCCAGGUACCUGGCAUCUGACAAAAGAGCUGCCAUGCCUGUAGCUUAUUAAAAAGGACAGAGAGAAGAGUGUGGAGUGCAAAUGGUCCCACUGACCACCUGUGGAUGGGAAAAUCUGGAGGCGGUGGGACCUGCAGGAGAGGCAGCCCGAGGCAAGGCUGGGGCUUAUGGAGAGGCAGGGUGAGGAGAGCAGCAGCUGGCAACGCAAGUAAUGAAGCAUCCGUCAAGUUAAUGGCUAAUAGUGGGUGUACUACAAACAGGUGGGAGGGAGUAACAGAGUGUCUCAAAUGUCUUUUUUUUUUUCAGAAUGUGGUCUGUUUGACCACUAUUCCUUCUAAAAAUACAUUUUUUUUCUUUUUUUUCUUUUUUUUUUUUUCCAUUCUUUUUCUUGUGGGAAGCCUGAGACUUGAUCGUGUGGACUCCUGGCCAGCAUUUAUUCUGACCUAGAUUUUGAUCUCUGCUUUUUUCCCCUACUGUCUGUUUAGCUGGCUACUACUCUGAAAGACGUGCAUAGAAUCUAUAAAGCAUUUGUGUUUCCCAUUAGUUUUACUUUCUAUUUUCAGGAGAUUCCUAAGACUAUAACAAAGAGAUUUGAAUUACACUGACCGUAAACACUUUAGGCUGCUAGGGUGAUCAGAAUAACUGUAAUCAGCAAUGGAACUUGCUAAACCAUUUAGUAAAGAGAUCAGAAGGGUGAUAUUAAAAUAUAUAGGAAAACAAUAACAAAUGCUGUAGAUUAAUGAAAAUUAAUCUUCUCUCAGUGGAUGGCAGCAAUUUGCAAUGGCUCAUCUGGCAGCACUGGAGUACUGCUGCUCCUGAAUGAAACCUCUGGAACCAAGUAAUUACUAUUUCAUUGCAGUCUCAAGACUUGAGCAUGGUUUGAGAUCUUUUGCACUAGGUGAUGUACACUGCUGUAUAAAGACAAUAGCACUCCUGAAGAGUUUGCAGCAGAAAAAAACCAUAAAGCAGACAGAAGAAAGGAGAUGGUCCCUGUUUUCCAGCUGAUGACUGGAAACAAGAGGAGUCUCUGGUUUGCAUCACUUGUGAAUCUGGCCCCGUUCCUCAACCUCCUUUUCCCUGAUCCCUUCUGGCUCUCUACCCCUGAUGACACCUGCUUUCCUGCUCUGCAGUGCUCAGCCACUCGGUUUGUGCACCACGUAGGUUACAGGACACAUGUGAACACGGAGAACCAAGCCUUGCGGUUUGUAUAAGGACAGACAUUGAUCCUGAGCCUUGGGCUGAAUGAGAAUUUUAACUCAUCAGAUAGUUGAUUUAGUUAAUUAAGCUGAAAGGGUACAGUGUGAUGUUUAGGAGUGUGGUGUGUUCGUUUGCCUGCUAUCAGACAUCUCACAUAUCCUGGUUGACAUCUCACAUAUCCUUGGAGACACGGGUGUUCAGCACGGAGUGUCCUUACAGCUGGCAUAUUCCCAGUCAGACAGAAAUCAAGAAAUAAAUAAAAAUGUGAAGGUGAGGGAUCUUUCUCA
rnacentral:lncRNA from 1 species